AGGUUCGAUUCUGGCUCGAGACGACGCUGGCGGCGUGCCUAACACAUGCAAGUCGAGCGGAGACAGAUGGAAGGCUUGCUUUUGUCCGUUCAGCGGCGGACGGGUGAGUAACGCGUGAGCAACCUGCCUUUAACAGGGGAAUAACGCAUCGAAAGAUGUGCUAAUACCGCAUAAGACCACGGCAUCACAUGGUGCAGGGGUCAAAGGAGCAAUCCGGUUAAAGAUGGGCUCGCGUCCGAUUAGCUGGUUGGUGAGACAACAGCCCACCAAGGCGACGAUCGGUAGCCGACCUGAGAGGGUGAUCGGCCACAUUGGAACUGAGAUACGGUCCAGACUCCUACGGGAGGCAGCAGUGGGGAAUAUUGGGCAAUGGGCGAAAAAGCCUGACCCAGCAACGCCGCGUGAGGGAAGAAGGGUUUCGGCUCGUAAACCUCUGUCCUAUGGGACGAAGGAAGUGACGGUACCAUAGGAGGAAGCCCCGGCUAACUACGUGCCAGCCGCCGC
rnacentral:rRNA from 1 species